CCUACGGGAGGCUGCAGUGGGGAAUAUUGCGCAAUGGGCGAAAGCCUGACGCAGCGACGCCGCGUGAGGGAUGAAGGUCUUCGGAUCGUAAACCUCUGUCAGCAGGGCAGAACGGUCACUGUGCUAAUCAGCAGUGAAUUUACGGUACCUGCAAAUGAAGCACCGGCUAACUCCGUGCCAGCAGCCGCGGUAAUACGGAGGGUGCGAUCGUUAAUCGGAAUUACUGGGCGUAAAGCGCUCGUAGGCGGUAUGUUGAGUCAAGGGGGCAAUCCCCGGGCUCAACGUGGGAACUGCCUGUGAAAAUGGAAAACUGGAGGGGGGGAGAGGAUAGUGGAAGUCCAGGGGUAGGAGUGAAAUCCGGAGAUAGCUGGAGGAACAGCAGUGGCGAAGGCGACUAUCUGGCACAUAACUGACGCUGAGGAGCGAAAGCGUGGGUAGCAAACAGGAUUAGAUACCCGAGUAGUUC
rnacentral:rRNA from 1 species